rnacentral:rRNA from 1 species
GACGAACGCUGGCGGCGUGCCUAAUACAUGCAAGUAGGACGCAGUUGCGAACGGGUGAGUAACGCGUAGGUAACUACCUAUUAGAGGGGGAUAACUACUGGAAACGAUAGCUAAUAACGCAUACUAGUAGAUGGACCUGCGUGGUAUUAGAUAGUAGGUAGGGUAAUGGCCUACCUAGGCAACGAUCCAUAGCCGACCUGAGAGGGUGUUCGGCCACACUGGGACUUAGCCACGGCCCAGACUCCUACGGGAAGCAGCAGUAGGGAAUCUUCCGCAAUGGGCGGAACCCUGACCGAGCAACGCCGCGUGAGUUAAGAAGGUUUUCGGAUCGUAAAGCUCUGUUGUUAAGGAAGCGUUACUUAACGAGAAAGGGACGGCUAACUACGUGCCAGCAGCGCGGUAAUUC